UAUGUGAUCGUCUCUCGCAUAUCAAUAAGCGGAGGAAAAGAAACUAACAAGGAUUCCCCUAGUAACGGCGAGUGAAGCGGGAAGAGCUCAAAUUUGAAAUCUUAAAGGGUUUCCCUUUACGAAUUGUAGUUUUAAGAAGUGUUUUCUGUUGAGGUUUUGGUAAAAGUUCUUUGGAAUAGGACAUCAUAGAGGGUGAGAAUCCCGUAUUUGACCUUUACUUUCAACUUUGUGAUACACUUUCAAAGAGUCGGAUUGUUUGGGAAUGCAGUCCAAAAUGGGUGGUAAAUUUCAUCUAAAGCUAAAUAUUGGCGAGAGACCGAUAGCGAACAAGUACCGUGAGGGAAAGAUGAAAAGAACUUUGAAAAGAGAGUUAAACAGUACGUGAAAUUGUCAAAAGGGAAGCGUUUGACACCAGUGUUGUUUUUCUGAAAAUCAAUUAAAGAACUGUUUAUGCUAAGUUGUUUAGACUUUAUCAGCUAACUGUUUAGUUUUGAGCCUUUCUUUAAUGCACUUUUCAGUUAACAAGUCAACAUCAAUUUCUUUUGCUGUAAAAAAGCUUGAGGAAGGUGGCUUGAGAUUCGUCUUAAGUGUUUAUAGCCUCUUGCCUAUGCAGUCGGAGAGAUUGAGGUCUGCAGCGUAGAUCCUUCGGGGCUAAAUGCAUUUGUGCUAAGUUAUAGCAUUUCAUAGACAACUUGUUGACUAUGAUUUGUCUUGUAGCUUACUCGCUUAUGUUAUUUUACCUACGCUUAGGAUGUUGAUAUGCAUGACUGAUAU
rnacentral:rRNA from 1 species